rnacentral:tRNA from 1 species
GUGGAGUGGUGUAAUGGUAGCAUGCCAGGCUCAUAACCUGGAGACUAGAUACAGGGUUCGAAUCCCUCCUCCGCUA